AGAGCGAACGCUGGCGGCAGGCCUAACACAUGCAAGUCGAGCGCCCGUAGCAAUACGGGAGCGGCAGACGGGAGAGUAACACGUGGGAACGCGCCCUUCGGUUCGGAAUAACUCAGGGAAACUUGAGCUAAUACCGGAUACGCCCUUACGGGGAAAGAUUUAUUGCCGAAGGAACGGCCCGCGUCCGAUUAGCUUGUUGGUGAGGUAAUGGCUCACCAAGGCGACGAUCGGUAGCUGGUCUGAGAGGAUGACCAGCCUCACUGGGACUGAGACACGGCCCAGACUCCUACGGGAGGCAGCAGUGGGGAAUAUUGGACAAUGGGCGCAAGCCUGAUCCAGCCAUGCCGCGUGGAUGAUGAAGGCCCUAGGGUCGUAAAGUCCUUUUAACGGGGAAGAUAAUGACGGUACCCGUAGAAUAAGCCCCGGCUAACUUCGUGCCAGCAGCCGC
rnacentral:rRNA from 1 species